rnacentral:rRNA from 1 species
AUUGAACGCUGGCGGCAGGCUUAACACAUGCAAGUCGAGCGAGCGGCGGACGGGUGAGUAAUGUCUGGGAAACUGCCUGAUGGAGGGGGUUAACUACUGGAAACGGUAGCUAAUACCGCAUACCAUCAGAUGUGCCCAGAUGGGAUUAGAUAGUAGGUGGGGUAAUGGCUCACCUAGGCGGCGAUCCCUAGCUGGUCUGAGAGGAUGCCCAGCAGCACGGGAACGGAAACGCGGUCCAGGCUCCUACGGGAGGCAGCAGUGGGGAAUAUUGCACAAUGGGCGCAAGCCUGAUGCAGCCAUGCCGCGUGUGUGAAGAAGGCCUUCGGGUUGUAAAGCACUUUCAGCGAGGAGGCGUUACUCGCAGAAGAAGCACCGGCUAACUCCGUGCCAGCAGCCGCGGUAAUAC